CCCGCUGAGCGGAAGCCACAUCACUCGGUUCCUUGGACGAUGGGCAGCCAGGAAUACCUCAGCCAGCUCCGCUGCUUCUUUGGAAGUCUUUGGCCGAUGCUCCUCUACCCAUUGUCAGAAGUUCUUUAGGAGACUGACCUUCCUCCCAUUCGAGAGAACGGAACCUCAC